CUCUGCCGAGUGUUUCCCUUAUCCUUCCUUAUCCCUUUGGUUAUUGUCUUAUCUCCUUUUUUUUUUUUUUUUUUUGUCUUAAGUUAGAGAUUUGAAGGCAUUUGGAAAUAUAUUGUGAAUGGAGAAUCCUAGUACAAGUUUCUAAUAUUCUUCUUCUACUUUCUCUUCUCCUCUAAGCUUCAACAAGGACUAAGGUUCAUUGAUGUUUUGGUUACAUUUGUAGUUAAAUCUGGUUAAAGCUUACAACUUUUUGAAGAUUUUCUUGAUGAGGUAAAGGGAGAUGAAAGCUCAAGUCCAUGAAGGCAUGGUAAACUUGUGCCAUUCCAUGUUUUGGUGAACCCUAGCAUUAGGAUUAGGCCUUUUCUCGAAUCCUCUUGUGAAAAAAGUGAAAAACAUGUUUUCUAUGACUCAGUUGUUGAGUGAUUUAUGCCUUGAAUACUUUAUAUAUGCUACUGUUUUAUUAUUAUUAUUA